AUGUUUCAGCUUCAGUCAAUCACGUCCGCAGAUUCUAAAACAAUUGGAGCCAAUCACGUUCGCACAGUCGAAAACAUUUCACCAAUCACGGCAGAAAUCCUGGAGAGCGACGUCAGGCACACGGCAGAAAUUCUGGAGGGCGACGUUACAUUGCUUACGCUAGACCUGAGGGGGCGGGUAAUUCAAAGAGUGAAGCUAGCCGGAUGCUUAAGGAAUCAACCGAGGCAGAUUAUCGACAUGGUGUCAAACCCCCGUAUCGGGGUGGAGUCGUUGCUGGUGACGGUCAUCAGAAAAGCACCAGCCCAGCAGAAGGGAGAGCCAGAGUCUGGCCGGGGAAGUGCUUCAGACUCUAGACAGAGAAGGCCUACAAGACAUAAAUGCAGUUGGAAAUUCCUCGUGGGGGAGAGCUGCGCGUCAUCGGAGUGCUACUUGGGAGCGUUCCUGGUGGAUGGACCAGCGCAGAACCGUCUCCACGCUUGAAAGUGACAAAGCGGGUCCCUGCCACACUGGCCGGUAGCGACUUGCUGUCUGGAUUGUAUACUGGAUUGGGAUGACUCCUCUUUGGUGUGGGUUGAUCUAUUGCAGUGUUUUUUUACUGUGGAUUCUAUAUGUGGGGCGUGGUUUAAGUAUUGCAAACUGAUAAUAUCUUUUGGGGGGAAGGCAUGUAUCUUGCUUUUGUGUGGACAUUGUGUGGGGGUUUUCAUGUUAGACAUGGUUGGCCAUUAGUUGGCUUUAUGCCUAUCGCCUAGUGGGGUUCUAUGUACAGUGAA
ensembl:lncRNA